UUUAUUUUAUUUUACCGUUAUUUUACCAGGUAAGUUGACUGAGAACACGUUCUCAUUUGCAGCAACGACCUGGGGAAUAGUUACAGGGGAGAGGAGGGGGAUGAAUGAGCCAAUUGUAAACUGGGGAUUAUUAGGUGACCAUGAUGGUUUGAGGGCCAGAUUGGGAAUUUAGCCAGGACACCGGGGUUAACACCCCUACUCUUACGAUAAGUGCCAUGGGAUCUUUAACGACCUCAGAGAGUCAGGACACCCGUUUAACGUCCCAUCCGAAAGACGGCACCCUACACAGGUCAGUGUCCCCAAUCACUGCCCUGGGGCAUUGGGAUAUUUUUUUUUUUAGACCAGAGGAAGAGUGCCUCCUACUGGCCCUCCAACACCACUUCCAGCAGCAUCUGGUCUCCCAUCCAGGGACUGACCAGGACCAACCCUGCUUAGCUUCAGAAGCAAGCCAGCAGUGGUAUGCAGGGUGUAUUACAAACGGGAUGGAUGCUCUUCAUCAACACCAUCUUUUCUGUGAAACUAUAUAUCAGCAAUCAAUCAACAAGACUAAUGAAAUGGAGCAAAUGAAGACAUUAGAUCUGCUAAAGGUAAUAUAUUCUGAAACUCAUUUCUUACUGGUAGAGCUUGUAUAUGAUCUGUCAAUCCUGAGAGGGACGCUCUCUCUCCUCCCCUUCCCCCCAUCUCUCUUUGCAUGUGCUGGGGCGAAGUUUCCCCUAGAUACAGAUCUAGGAUCAGCUUCCCCUCCCCAAACCCAACAAGGACCACUAGCGGGGGGAAUUCAAACCUGAUCCAAAGGCAGGGUCUAUUUGGGGAACUUGUCCCAUCCCCCACAACUCUACAUGUGGAUGCGGCUUUCUCCAGCUCACCAUGCUCACAAAGAAAACAGCAGUGCAUUUCAGCUGACUGGCAGAGACAGUGCGGUGCUAGAAGGGAAGGUUUGAUUGGGAGAGACAGUUGUUGCUGCCAUAGGUAAUCUGUCAUACUAUACAUUUAUUAAAGACAUGUCUAUUUUAAAAUUGUUCUCGUCAGAAUGUAGUAGAGUUAAAAUGGUUAUUCCAUCAAACUUCCAAUUAUUAGAAUAGUACACAACGCAGAACAGAACAACCAGGUUGAGGGUCAGUGGCCAAAGCCCGCGAACAGGAAUAUUCCAAGUUCAGACAGAGGGGGGGAGUCAGAUCGCUAUGAUCGCAAGGAACUUUACUUUUGGUGUCGAUUUUUAAUUGUUACGCUACUGGUGCUGCCUGUUGAUGUUAGGUAGGCAGCUACAGGAGCUGAAUGAUGUCAACAUCUUCGGGUUUUAUUUCAUUAAAUGUAUUUUAUUUCAUCCGUGUGCUUGUCACCUACUAACACCCUGGUACUACCCGUAGCUCCCGCUCUCCUCGGUCCGAGAAAACACGGAGAGAGAAAAAUCAACAUAAAAGCCUAAAAGACAGCCGUGGUGUCGCUCUUCAUUUCUCCUGUGGUACAUAAGAAACCCGCUACAAGAACAUGGAUAAAAGCAGGAAUCUCUCGUGCCAAGCCUGGGAAAGAACUGAAAAAACGCACUAAAGAGUCAAGACAGACACCAGAAAGAGACCCAAGAAGACUUGGACGCAGGAUCAGAGGACAGCGAGAGAUGUUCAGAACUCACUCA